rnacentral:rRNA from 1 species
UGGGGAAUCUUGCGCAAUGGGCGAAAGCCUGACGCAGCGACGCCGCGUGCGGGAUGACGGCCUCGGUUGUAACCGCUUUCAGCAGGGACGAGGCCGCAAGGUGACGGUACCUGCAGAAGAAGCCCCGGCUAACUACGUGCC